GUCUGGUGCCAGCAGCCGCGGUAAUUCCAGCUCCAAUAGCGUAUAUUAAAGUUGUUGCAGUUAAAAAGCUCGUAGUUGAACCUUGGGCCUGGUUGGCCGGUCCGCCUCACCGCGUGCACUGGUCCGACCGGGUCUUUCCUUCUGGGGAGCCGCAUGCCCUUCACUGGGUGUGUCGGGGAACCAGGACUUUUACUUUGAAAAAAUUAGAGUGUUCAAAGCAGGCCUAUGCUCGAAUACAUUAGCAUGGAAUAAUAGAAUAGGACGUGUGGUUCUAUUUUGUUGGUUUCUAGGACCGCCGUAAUGAUUAAUAGGGAUAGUCGGGGGCGUCAGUAUUCAAUUGUCAGAGGUGAAAUUCUUGGAUUUAUUGAAGACUAACUACUGCGAAAGCAUUCGCCAAGGAUGUUUUCAUUAAUCAGUGAACGAAAGUUAGGGGAUCGAAGACGAUCAGAUACCGUCGUAGUCUUAACCAUAAACUAUGCCGACUAGGGAUCGGGCGAUGUUAUCUUUUUGACUCGCUCGGCACCUCACGAGAAAUCAAAGUCUUUGGGUUCUGGGG
rnacentral:rRNA from 2 species